rnacentral:tRNA from 1 species
ACCUACAUGGCGCAAUUGGUUAGCGUACUUCUCUGAUAAGGAAGCGGUUGAAGGUUCAAGUCCUUCUGUAGGUA